rnacentral:rRNA from 1 species
ACGAACGCUGGCGGCGUGCUUAACACAUGCCAGUCGAACGGAAAGGCCCUGCUUUUGUGGGGUGCUCGAGUGGCGAACGGGUGAGUAACACGUGAGUAACCUGCCCUUGACUUUGGGAUAACUUCAGGAAACUGGGGCUAAUACCGGAUAGGAGCUCCUGCUGCAUGGUGGGGGUUGGAAAGUUUCGGCGGUUGGGGAUGGACUCGCAGCUUAUCAGCUUGUUGGUGGGGUAGUGGCUUACCAAGGCUUUGACGGGUAGCCGGCCUGAGAGGGUGACCGGCCACAUUGGGACUGAGAUACGGCCCAGACUCCUACGGGAGGCAGCAGUGGGGAAUAUUGCACAAUGGGCGGAAGCCUGAUGCAGCAACGCCGCGUGCGGGAUGACGGCCUUCGGGUUGUAAACCGCUUUCGCCUGUGACGAAGCGUGAGUGACGGUAAUGGGUAAAGAAGCACCGGCUAACUACGUG